AACGAACGCUGGCGGCAGGCUUAACACAUGCAAGUCGAGCGCCCCGCAAGGGGAGCGGCAGACGGGUGAGUAACGCGUGGGAACAUACCCUUUCCUGCGGAAUAGCUCCGGGAAACUGGAAUUAAUACCGCAUACGCCCUACGGGGGAAAGAUUUAUCGGGGAAGGAUUGGCCCGCGUUGGAUUAGCUAGUUGGUGGGGUAAAGGCCUACCAAGCGACGAUCCAUAGCUGGUCUGAGAGGAUGAUCAGCCACAUUGGGACUGAGACACGGCCCAAACUCCUACGGGAGGCAGCAGUGGGGAAUAUUGGACAAUGGGCGCAAGCCUGAUCCAGCCAUGCCGCGUGAGUGAUGAAGGCCUUAGGGUUGUAAAGCUCCUUCACCGGAGAAGAUAAUGACGGUAUCCGGAGAAGAGGCCCCGGCUAACUUCGUGCCAGCCGCCGCGGUAA
rnacentral:rRNA from 1 species